CCCACCCCUCACAGAGGGGAUAACACAAGGGAGGGCUAGGCUCACUCAGACCAGAGGCUAAUUCCUCUCUUAGCAGCCGGCCGACUACAAACUAUUAUAGAGACGUUUUAUGUCUUGGAAAGGUGUCUGAGAAAACCUGGCUUCACAUACUGUAUUGAGGGAGUGGGAGGAAGCUUCUCCUUAUGGCAGAUGGUGGUCGGCCCCAUCGCCAGCGCCAUGGCCCUGCUGCCCACCCACCAUAUUGAGCAAACAGGACGAGCAAACAGCGGGGAGUGCCUCAGAUAGGUCCCCCCUGCCUCCGCCCAGAGCCCGGGCCGUGAGCAAACACUCCAGCCUGCAGAACAAAGGAGGAUGAAUAAUCGGAGGGAAAUGUCAACGUUUCAUCGUGGCUGCCCUGGCCCGAGCCAGGAAAGUUCCCCCGGCAGCGGUUAGGACCCUAUCUGCCAGGAACGCAGAGCGAGAGAGAGGACGCAGAGAGAGAGAACCAGCACUAGCCCCUCGCACCGGUAACCCGAGAGGCAGGCGGGACGCCUGGAAUAUGGCCCAGCUGGUUCCUGAUGUUGCUAAUUGGUGCAAACGAGGGGGACCUGUGAUUGCGUGGCCAUGAAAACAAAAC
rnacentral:lncRNA from 1 species